rnacentral:lncRNA from 1 species
CAGCUUCACGCUCCAUCAGUGGUCUCACCAUAGACCUUCUAAUCUUGAUUGUGUUGGCUGGUGUCUAUUUUCUAAUGGUGUUUGGUUUUGGAACCUGCAUUUCUUUGAAAAAGAGUGAGCAUGUGCAUUUUCCCAGAUGCCUGGUAUCCAACUGCACUUCUCCAUGUGUGCAUUGUCCCCUGAGCUGGCAAGAAGAUCCUACUAGUUGGUCUGCAUGCCAUGCCAGCUCGGCCUUGCACCCUGGGGGCCCAGGUAACUAGCUCUCACCAACAGAAAGAGAUGUGAUGGACAUCACCUGAGGCCAGACCCUAAGACCUCUGUGUGCCCCCUCCGUGUCUCCUGUCUGCAGCUGUUGUCCACACCAAGGGUGGCCUACAGAGGGAAGUGAGGACCUUGGGACUUCCUCCAGGACAGCCCUCGCUGUCCAAAUCUCCACCUGCUGCAGAGCUGCCUCCAGUCAAGCCCUUGUUUCCAGCUUUCUGUGCCCUAAAUAAACUUCUGCUGGGAUUGAGCCAUCAGCAUUCUGUGGUGGGCGUCGCUGCUGCGAGGUUGCCCUCGUGCACACAAGCUCCUCACAGGACUUCCAGGAUGAUAUGGAAGAGUGACUGAGAGCAGCCGCCCGGUGCUUCCCAACCUUAGAGGGAGGUCACGGGCAGUCUCCCUGCGAUGCUGGCCACAGGGUCUCGCUGUGUCGCCCAGGCUGGAGGGCAGUGGUGUGAUCUGGACUCACUGCAGCCUCGACCUGUUGGGCUCAAGUGAUCCUCUCACGUCAGCCUCCAAGUAGCCAAGACCACAGGCAGGCGUCACCAUGCCCAGCCCCCAUGAUGACUUUACUUUUCUUCUUGAACCUGGUGAAUUUCUGUGUUAACAUGUCUGAUUUGAACCCUUCUGAUAUUCCUGAGAUAAACUUUAUGUGACCUUGGUAUUCUGUUGGAUUUUGGUUAGCUGAUACUUCAAGAUUUUUA